GGGUGUAUGGCUGAGUGGCUGAAAGCAUUAAUUUUGAAAAUUAACAUAAGUAAUACUUAUCGUAGGUUCGAAUCCUACUUCAUCUA
rnacentral:tRNA from 1 species